UACGGAGGGCGCAAGCGUUGAUCGGAAUCAUUGGGCGUAAAGCGCGUGUAGGCGGCCAAUUAAGUCGGAUGUGAAAGCCCGGGGCCCAACCCCGGAACUGCAUUCGAUACUGAUUGGCUGGAGUCCCGGAGAGGAAGGCGGAAUUCCCGGUGUAGAGGUGAAAUUCGUAGAUAUCGGGAGGAACAUCAGUGGCGCAGGCGGCCUUCUGGACGGUGACUGACGCUGAGACGCGAAAGCGUGGGGAGCAAACAGG
rnacentral:rRNA from 1 species